GUGGGGAAUUUUGGACAAUGGGCGAAAGCCUGAUCCAGCCAUGCCGCGUGCAGGAUGAAGGCCUUCGGGUUGUAAACUGCUUUUGUACGGAACGAAAAGACUCCUUCUAAUAAAGGGGGUCCAUGACGGUACCGUAAGAAUAAGCACCGGCUAACUACGUGCCAGCAGCCGCGGUAAUACGUAGGGUGCAAGCGUAAAUCGGAAUUACUGGGCGUAAAGCGUGCGAAGGCGGUUAUAUAAGACAGAUGUGAAAUCCCCGGGCUCAACCUGGGAACUGCAUUUGUGACUGUAUAGCUAGAGUACGGUAGAGGGGGAUGGAAUUCCGCGUGUAGCAGUGAAAUGCGUAGAUAUGCGGAGGAACACCGAUGGCGAAGGCAAUCCCCUGGACCUGUACUGACGCUCAUGCACGAAAGCGUGGGUAGCGAACAGGAUUAGAAACCCUGGUAGUCC
rnacentral:rRNA from 1 species